rnacentral:rRNA from 1 species
UGCGUAGGUGGCAAGCGUUGUCCGGAUUUACUGGGUGUAAAGGGCGUGUAGGCGGAGCUGCAAGUCAGAUGUGAAAUCCCGGGGCUCAACCCCGGAACUGCAUUUGAAACUGUAGCCCUUGAGUAUCGGAGAGGCAGGCGGAAUUCCUAGUGUAGCGGUGAAAUGCGUAGAUAUUAGGAGGAACACCAGUGGCGAAGGCGGCCUGCUGGACGACAACUGACGCUGAGGCGCGAAAGCGUGGGGAGCAAACAGG